CCUGACCAAGUGAGCAACACUAUAUGGAUCUUCUAUAAUAGGGCAAUCUUUAGCAUGAGAAAACCGCCAAUGAAACGGCCUCACGGUAGGACCCUCGUUCAAAGAACUUGACCUAUGAUCGGCACCCAAGGUCUUGGCUUUUUCUGGAGGACGAUCACGCCCAUUAGAGCCAGAUGGGCUAUUCGAGUUAGCACGAGCAGUCGUGCCUUUUCAAUCACUAUCUUUGGUCCGAUCCACA
rnacentral:lncRNA from 1 species